rnacentral:rRNA from 1 species
UACGGAGGGUGCAAGCGUUAUCCGGAAUCAUUGGGUUUAAAGGGUCCGCAGGCGGGCAAUUAAGUCAGAGGUGAAAUGGUGCGGCUCAACCGUAGCACUGCCUUUGAUACUGGUUGUCUUGAGUCAUGGUGGAGUGGCCGGAAUAUGUAGUGUAGCGGUGAAAUGCAUAGAUAUUACAUAGAACACCGAUCGCGAAGGCAGGUCACUAACCAUGUACUGACGCUGAUGGACGAAAGCGUGGGGAGCGAACGGG